GGGGACUACGAGCAUAAGCUUAAAACCCAAAGGACUUGGCGGUGCUUUAGACCCCCCUAGAGGAGCCUGUUCUAGAACCGAUAACCCCCGUUCGACCUCACCUUUUCUUGUUCAUUCCGUCUAUAUACCGCCGUCGUCAGCAUACCCUGUGAAGGAAACAUAGUAAGCAAAACUGGUAAAACCCAAAACGCCAAGUCGAGGUGUAGCACACGAAAAGGAAAGAAAUGGGCUACAUUUCCUAAUUUAGGAAAAACGAAUUGUGUUAUGAAACAGCACAUGAAGGAGGAUUUAGCAGUAAGAAGAAAACAGAGUGUUCUACUGAACCCGGCCCUGAAGCACGCACACACCGCCCGUCACCCUCCCCAAAUCAAAAUACAUCUUUAUUUAAAAAUUUACCAGAGCCAAAGGGGAGGUAAGUCGUAACAUGGUAAGUGUACCGGAAGGUGCACUUGGAAUAAA
rnacentral:rRNA from 1 species